rnacentral:tRNA from 1 species
AUCACGAUCGACUAACGGGGAAGUCACCUGAAAGUGAGGGAGAAUAUUGGUUCGAAUCCAAUUCGUGAGA